UACGUAGGGCGCAAGCGUUAUCCGGAAUUAUUGGGCGUAAAGAGCUCGUAGGCGGUUUGUCGCGUCUGCCGUGAAAGUCCGGGGCUCAACUCCGGAUCUGCGGUGGUACGGGCAGACUAGAGUGAUGUAGGGGAGACUGGAAUUCCUGGUGUAGCGGUGAAAUGCGCAGAUAUCAGGAGGAACACCGAUGGCGAAGGCAGGUCUCUGGCAUUAACUGACGCUGAGGAGCGAAAGCAUGGGAGCGAACAGG
rnacentral:rRNA from 1 species